rnacentral:rRNA from 1 species
ACGCACGCUGGCGGCGUGCCUAAUACCUGCAAGUUGAGCGAUGAAGAUUGGUGCUUGCACCAAUUUGAAGAGCAGCGAACGGGUGAGUAACGCGUGGGGAAUCUGCCUUUGAGCGGGGGACAACAUUUGGAAACGAAUGCUAAUACCGCAUAACAACUUUAAACAUAAGUUUUAAGUUUGAAAGAUGCAAUUGCAUCACUCAAAGAUGAUCCCGCGUUGUAUUAGCUAGUUGGUGAGGUAAAGGCUCACCAAGGCGAUGAUGCAUAGCCGACCUGAGAGGGUGAGCGGCCACAUUGGGACUGAGACACGGCCCAAACUCCUACGGGAGGCAGCAGUAGGGAAUCUUCGGCAAUGGACGAAAGUCUGACCGAGCAACGCCGCGUGAGUGAAGAAGGUUUUCGGAUCGUAAAACUCUGUUGGUAGAGAAGAACGUUGGUGAGAGUGGAAAGCUCAUCAAGUGACGGUAACUACCCAGAAAGGGACGGCUAACUACGCG